ensembl:snRNA U6 U6 spliceosomal RNA
GUGCUUACUUCGGCAGCACAUAUACUAAAAUUGGAACAAUAUAGAAAAUAUUAGCAUGACAUCUGCUUAACAAUGACACGCAAAUUCAUAAAACAGUUCAUAUUUUU